rnacentral:rRNA from 1 species
UACGUAGGGCGCAAGCGUUGUCCGGAAUUAUUGGGCGUAAAGAGCUCGUAGGCGGUUUGUCGCGUCUGCUGUGAAAACCUAAGGCUCAACCUUGGGCUUGCAGUGGGUACGGGCAGACUAGAGUGCGGUAGGGGUGACUGGAAUUCCUGGUGUAGCGGUGGAAUGCGCAGAUAUCAGGAGGAACACCGAUGGCGAAGGCAGGUCACUGGGCCGCAACUGACGCCGAGGAGCGAAAGCAUGGGGAGCGAACAGG